CGCCUCUUGAAUAAAUAUAAGAGGUCCAGCCUGCCCAGUGACUCUGUUCAACGGCCGCGGUAUCCUAACCGUGCGAAGGUAGCGUAAUCACUUGUUCUUUAAAUGAGGACUAGUAUGAAUGGCACCACGAAGGUUAUACUGUCUCCUCUCUCUAAUCAGUGAAACUAAUCUCCCCGUGAAGAAGCGGGAAUAAACAUAUAAGACGAGAAGACCCUAUGGAGCUUUAAACUACGUAACACUUGCACCACCACAACACAAAUUUCAGAAAAAUCUCUCCAACACAUGCAAGCUUAUUACCAGUUUUAGGUUGGGGUGACCGCGGAGCAAAAAACAACCUCCACAUUGAAAGGAAUUUACUCCUUAGCCAAGAGCCACACCUCCACGCACCAUUAUAAUGACAUUAAUUGACCCAAUAUUUUGAUCAACGAACCAAGUUACCCUAGGGAUAACAGCGCAAUCCAUUUCAAGAGCUCCUAUCGACAAAUGGGUUUACGACCUCGAUGUUGGAUCAGGGUAUCCCGGUGGUGCAGCCGCUACCAAAGGUUCGUUUGUUCAACGAUUAAAACCCUA
rnacentral:rRNA from 1 species